UUUAGAGGGGGAUAGCCUGGAGAAAUUCAGAUUAACACCCCAUAUUAUCCAGAAUUCGCAUGGAAUUUGGGGUGAAAACUCCGGUGCUAAAGGAUGGGCAUGCGUGACAUUAGCUAGUUGGUGAGGUAAUGGCUCACCAAGGCUACGAUGUCUAGCUGGUCUGAGAGGAUGAUCAGCCACACUGGGACUGAGACACGGCCCAG
rnacentral:rRNA from 1 species